UAAAGUUCUAUCAAGACUCCAUGGGAGGUUGAAUCAAAAAUGAAACUAGGAUUGUGAUUUUCAUUCGUUCCUUAAUCAAUUCUUGUGGGAUUUUGACUAAUAAGGUGGAAGGAAGUGAGGAUCUUAGAGUUCAAUCUUGGUAAGUAGAUUUUUCUCUCAAGCCUCUUCGUACGUCCUCAUAUGUGUGAGGACAGAGAUGUUAUUCUUUGUUUCCUUUCUAUGAAAUACUUUGUAUUAGACAUGAGUUUCUUUUCUACGCAAGGGUAUUGACCCUAUGAUAACAAGAUGUCUCUAAGAUUACUUGUGAUGAUGAGACUUAGUUCUUCUUACUUUUUAUAAAAGAUUUUCUUAUUGACAUUA